rnacentral:rRNA from 1 species
UACGUAGCAGCGAGCGUUGUUCGGAAUUACUGGGCGUAAAGAGUGUGUAGGUGGUGCUCUAAGUUCGGUGUGAAAUCUCCCGGCUUAACUGGGAGGGUGCGCCGAAAACUGGAGUGCUCGAGCGUGGGAGAGGAAAGCGGAAUUCCUGGUGUAGCGGUGGAAAUGCUGCAGAUAUCAGGAGGAACACCAAUUGCGAAGGCAGCUCGCUGGCCCGGUACUGACGCUGGAGGUGCGGAAAGCGUGGGGAGCAAACAG